UAUUAGCGGUGCAACUUCCCAUACUCAGAUGCCGGGCCAGAUCACAAUGCGCUCCUUUUCUUCCGACAUGUUGUGCGUUCAUGCACCAAAUACCACAACAUACUUGGACAGUUUGAUGGCACUGACUGCUUAAUAAUUGUUAUUAAAGAAGUUUGAAGAGGA